rnacentral:rRNA from 1 species
GGAAUUGCUAGUAAUCACAGGUCAGCAUACUGUGGUGAAUACGUUCCCGGGCCUUGUACACACCGCCCGUCACACCAUGAGAGUUGAGAAUACCCGAAGCCCAUGUCAAAGUGGUCGAAGGUAGGCUUGAUGAUUGGGGUGAAGUCGUAACAAGGUACC